AAAUUGAAGAGUUUGAUCAUGGCUCAGAUUGAACGCUGGCGGCAGGCCUAACACAUGCAAGUCGAACGGUAACAGGAAGAAGCUUGCUUCUUUGCUGACGAGUGGCGGACGGGUGAGUAAUGUCUGGGAAACUGCCUGAUGGAGGGGGAUAACUACUGGAAACGGUAGCUAAUACCGCAUAACGUCGCAAGACCAAAGAGGGGGACCUUCGGGCCUCUUGCCAUCGGAUGUGCCCAGAUGGGAUUAGCUUGUUGGUGGGGUAACGGCUCACCAAGGCGACGAUCCCUAGCUGGUCUGAGAGGAUGACCAGCCACACUGGAACUGAGACACGGUCCAGACUCCUACGGGAGGCAGCAGUGGGGAAUAUUGCACAAUGGGCGCAAGCCUGAUGCAGCCAUGCCGCGUGUAUGAAGAAGGCCUUCGGGUUGUAAAGUACUUUCAGCGGGGAGGAAGGGAGUAAAGUUAAUACCUUUGCUCAUUGACGUUACCCGCAGAAGAAGCACCGGCUAACUCCGUGCCAGCAGCCGCGGUAAUACGGAGGGUGCAAGCGUUAAUCGGAAUUACUGGGCGUAAAGCGCACGCAGGCGGUUUGUUAAGUCAGAUGUGAAAUCCCCGGGCUCAACCUGGGAACUGCAUCUGAUACUGGCAAGCUUGAGUCUCGUAGAGGGGGGUAGAAUUCCAGGUGUAGCGGUGAAAUGCGUAGAGAUCUGGAGGAAUACCGGUGGCGAAGGCGGCCCCCUGGACGAAGACUGACGCUCAGGUGCGAAAGCGUGGGGAGCAAACAGGAUUAGAUACCCUGGUAGUCCACGCCGUAAACGAUGUCGACUUGGAGGUUGUGCCCUUGAGGCGUGGCUUCCGGAGCUAACGCGUUAAGUCGACCGCCUGGGGAGUACGGCCGCAAGGUUAAAACUCAAAUGAAUUGACGGGGGCCCGCACAAGCGGUGGAGCAUGUGGUUUAAUUCGAUGCAACGCGAAGAACCUUACCUGGUCUUGACAUCCACAGAACUUUCCAGAGAUGAGAUUGUGCCUUCGGGAACUGUGAGACAGGUGCUGCAUGGCUGUCGUCAGCUCGUGUUGUGAAAUGUUGGGUUAAGUCCCGCAACGAGCGCAACCCUUAUCCUUUGUUGCCAGCGGUCCGGCCGGGAACUCAAAGGAGACUGCCAGUGAUAAACUGGAGGAAGGUGGGGAUGACGUCAAGUCAUCAUGGCCCUUACGACCAGGGCUACACACGUGCUACAAUGGCGCAUACAAAGAGAAGCGACCUCGCGAGAGCAAGCGGACCUCAUAAAGUGCGUCGUAGUCCGGAUUGGAGUCUGCAACUCGACUCCAUGAAGUCGGAAUCGCUAGUAAUCGUGGAUCAGAAUGCCACGGUGAAUACGUUCCCGGGCCUUGUACACACCGCCCGUCACACCAUGGGAGUGGGUUGCAAAAGAAGUAGGUAGCUUAACCUUCGGGAGGGCGCUUACCACUUUGUGAUUCAUGACUGGGGUGAAGUCGUAACAAGGUAACCGUAGGGGAACCUGCGGUUGGAUCACCUCCUUACCUUAAAGAAGC
rnacentral:rRNA from 1 species